UACGUAGGGUGCGAGCGUUAAUCGGAAUUACUGGGCGUAAAGCGUGCGCAGGCGGCUUUGCAAGACAGAUGUGAAAUCCCCGGGCUUAACCCGUGGGAACUGCAUUUGUGACUGCAAGGCUAGAGUACGGUAGAGGGGGAUGGAAUUCCGCGUGUAGCAGUGAAAUGCGUAGAUAUGCGGAGGAACACCGAUGGCGAAGGCAAUCCCCUGGACCUGUACUGACGCUCAUGCACGAAAGCGUGGGGAGCAAACAGG
rnacentral:rRNA from 1 species